AGGGGACGUUUGUUAACCUCCUUCGUUCAAGGAGUGAUUCCAUGUAGUGCGCUCUUCUGUGAUUCAGAGGGACUGGAAUAUAGCAGUGACUGGAUGUGACUCUAGUUCUGUUAGUACAGAUCUUUGCCCUCGCAGACCAAUGAAAGGGUGGCGACUGCAUACUCUUUUUGGCUGGGUGGCCGGCUCUAGGAAGAGUCCUGGUGGUUCCAAACUUCUUCCAUUUAAGGAUGAUGGAGGCCACUGUGCUUUUUGGGACCUUCAAUGCUGCAGACAUUUUUUUGUACCCUUCCCCAGAUCUGUGCCUCGAAACAAUCCUGUCUCGGAGGUCUACAGACAAUUCCUUGGACAUGCUCUGACAUGCACUGUCAACUGUGGGACCUUUUGUGUGCCUUUCCAACCUACUGAAUUUACCACAGGUGGACGAUGAUGAGUGGAAACAGGAUGCACCUGAGCUCAAAGGAAUGUUUUAUGAAUAAUAUAAUGAAUAUUUAUGUACAUGUUAUAUUUUUGAUCUUUAUUUUGAAUAAAUUUGCAAAAAAUUCAAACAAA